rfam:Rahnella aquatilis CIP 78.65 = ATCC 33071, complete genome.
CACCGACAUCAGCGAUUCGUUUUUCGAACCCUGACCCACCGCCAGAUACGCAUUCAUUCCCAGCUCUUUCAUCUGCUGCUCGCCGAUAACGCGGGUCGUGAUGUUGGUGCUGAACGCAUCUGCCAGCUGACGGGCCUGUGACGCCAGAUAGGCAGCGUUACAGAUGUUCGGUGGCAUAUUGCCGAGAUCUUUCGC